CUCAAUCUGAAACAAUAGAACGACCGUUACCGUUAACGAACGCGUUUUAAGAAAGUAUGUACUCAUCCCUUUGAACGAAUCAAUCGGCUCGUGCGUGUAACCUCGAUAGUUUACUUGUUAACGAUCGAAGUCGUCAUCCUUUCGAUAGAAGGAUUUCACGACGGAAAGAAAUACAAAAUUCUGUUACGAGUAUCUUUAAUCUAAAAGUAACUAUUGUUAUUUAUACUUUGCUACCCUGAAAAGUUCAAUGCGGCUAUCGAUGUCCUAAGAAGAAUUUCCAAUUAGAAAACUGACAUCAACGACUUGAACCGCAAUCUAAUAUGAACAUUAUGAACUGAGUAGCGUUUUCUAUAACUGCGAUACGCUUCUGUUUGCGGCGUCUGUAAGUAAAGAGUAAUCGGACCCAAAAAGAGCUUAGCCAGACUUUUUUCUCUGGAGCUGGUCAGAUAACAGAAGAAAAUCUGAUCUAAACGCCGUUUGAGACCAUUAUAAUUACCUUUGAAACGAGGAAUCGAAUCAUGAUCCUUUCUAUUCUUAGCGUGAAUAAUAAAAAGAGGACGUCGGGUAUGCAUGCAUGCAUGUUCGAAACGACAUAAAGCUGGAAUCUAGCAGCGUCGGCGAACGUAUCGGUUCAUUGUUGCUAUCGUUUUGCUGAGAAAGGAACGAGGACUAUAUACGGACACGUCAUGGAAAGACCUAUCGAUAUUGUACGCUUCUCUGCAACGCUUUCAAUGCAUUAUUGACAAUUCGACGGGAUUCCAUGAAGUACGUAGAAUACUGUAAUGGGCAACUUCGCUUCGGACUUCGAUCCUAAAUGGUGGAACUUCUUCGACGAAAGAUCUUUAUUGAUUUUCUGUACCCAUUAAAUGUCGUAUUAAAUUUUAAAAAGAGAAUCCGAGGAGGUCCGCUCGUUUUUCUUUUGGGAGACGCAGACUGCACGCUUGCGAGCGUAUAAUAAAUUCCGGGCGAAUAACGGCACCGUUUCUGGCGAAUGCAAAGAAAACGAUAACAGAUGAACAAAGAUUGGAAGGACAGCUGAGGACAUUCCAAGAUCGAGAGAGCACAGAUAAGCACGCGGGCUGUGCCACUAGGAGAUGAGUCGUUUCAAGGGAUACGCUGCAGCGGUGGGUCACCAUCGACAAGGCUGUGUAUAGGUCCUUAUAUGGUAGUCGAUCGUACGACUGUAUAUAGAGAGCUGGAAAGAGGCUGAGCGAGUACGCAACCACGGCACAUAUGUGCACGUCCUUUACGUAUAUUACGUUGUACAUAUUCUCUAUCCUCGGCCGGGUACACGGUACGCGUGUAGGAGUAUUGCAUCAAGUGCACGCAUACCGAGGCAUCUGUUCAUACGUGUCCUGCGUAACGGUAACAAAACGAAGAGGAGAUCGGCUCGAUUAGUUGUACAGUUAGCCCAUUUGGUAACGCUCGCUCGAGACGAAUCCUACCGAAGCGUCUGUACACGCGACAUGAAAAAUCUUUAUACGAGGUCGGACAGUUUCGCGGCAAAGUCGGCCGAUUUCACGAAAAUGAGGAAAGCGCCGAUGGUGCUCGAAGAUGUCUAUCUGAUUUGAUUAUCACGGGUACGGAGGACUGGAAACGGUCUCUGUACGCCAAUGCCCAAAGAGAAAUCACGAUAAAUCCUACUUGAUCUCGCAGGGAGAAAAGAGGUCUGCGAGUUAAUAAGGAAACUAGGUUGCUCGCACCGACGCGCUAGCCAGUUUGCAGGACGCGUCGGUGUAUGCCACGCUCCGACGAGUCUUGCUCAUCAUGAGAUCGAACGUAUCAUAAGAUUUAGGUUUCUCUGUUCUGUACUCUCGUCUAUGAACAACUCUUGAUAUCGUCGUUUAACACUAAUCGUACUCUACAUGAAUGCGAUCGUCCGGAACCGAUCGGCUGUGAAAUCCAGUGGGAUCGAUGAGCUACGAUUAAUUCUAGAAGGGUUUCUGACUGGACACUGUUGCGGCCAUCUGGUAAAGAGAGAUCUCACGGUUGGCGGCUAACGAGUUCGCGCUGCCUGCCAAUUAACUUAGGUAAUCGCUUUUAAUGGAGGACCCUCAAUGGCGUAUGCAGCGAUUCGUUUACAUACUCCGGCUGUAUCGACUGGUUGGUCGCUGCAAGUGGUAGGCUGCAGAAACGCACAGCCACCUACGUGCACCGUUAACAUGCCCACGUAAAACCGUGCGGAGCGGCCAGGAAAAUGCAUUUUGUCUACGACGAUUCCGUGUCGCGCUCCUACUACUACGACCGAUACAAAUGCGCUCUUUCUUCCUCGUCCUGCUCCUCGUCUCCCUCGCACUUUCGUGCAACCGUGACGGCUAACGAACCCUGGACGCACGCGUAUCGUAUUGAGCGGUGGCGCGUAAACUCAGGGGCGUGUUACGUGUUACCAAGCGGUUCGUCCUGCUCCUGAUCCUGUAUGUCUCUAUCCUUUUCGCACAAUGAAUCAUUUCAGGACCGAAUUCAUCUGACUAAUACCAAGUUGACUAACUUCUAAUGGGCAACUGUAGAACACGCAACUGCAGAGUGCAAUUUCUUCUCUUAUAUGCAUGCACCGAUCAGCUUUCGAGUGAUUCGGCAAGAAGGGAAAUUCAGAAUUCAAUGCUCGAAAGCCACGUUAGUGAAUUAUGUCGCGGUAGUUGCCGCGGAGGAGAUCCUCUUUAGCGGUCAAGAUUUCGUGAACAAGUAUGAAGUGUGGCAAGAUUCAGAACGGGAUGCUUGUUAACGAAAAGUGGAUCGUAUUCAAAAGUUCAUUCAUUCACACAGGCGAUUUAAAUCUGAACAACGUUACGUUAUUAGUUAAAAAGAGAUUUUCUGUUCACGUCGAAUUUCUCUUCUCAUAUAAAAAUUGCAAUAUCCACAUUCAACUCUUUAUGUCUUCUGUACUCUACUAUAAAUGCCGUAUGGUACAUUAAGGUGGUUUUGGCUUGUGCCACUGGCCGGGAUCGACCUUGAAGACGUCGAAGAUGUGCCAGGGCAGAAUAUUUGUCUUCCGGGAUCUGAAUGAAAUAGCGGUGCGCGCGCGCCUCCCGUAUCCGUAAACGCGCGUGUACGGUUUUAGCUCGGGGUUGCACCAGGGGAGCGGCCGACUACUGGCAGACGGUUUCAUCGAUUGGCAAUGCGGGGGUCGAAGCGUGGGGUUCCUGAACUCUCCCCGGCUAUCUAUACGUACUGUAUAAACGUAUCGACGACCUCGGGUUUCAUGGUCAAUGGUAAAAAGGUUGAUUUUUUAAUACCUCGCGUGGGAUUCACCUCGAUCUACGAUUCAUUUACCGCUGAGAUGAAUUUAUGUACGCGAUGAAUAUGUAUCGGAAUCGCGAAAUACCGCGUUACGUUCUAUUUCCAAUAUGUCCACGAAACAAAUAUAUCUUUCUAACAUAAUGAUAAAUUCGGUUUAAGCUCCUAAGUGUAAAUAGUAAUGACAACUUUUAUCUUGCGUCGAGUAGUAAGUUUGCGGUAAGAUAAAAGUUAUCAUUAAAAAUACGACUCGUUGCAAGCGCAAAGAACGUCGCAAAUAAAAAUCGCAUUCGCGGUACGAAUCGAUAAAUAAAAUUUCUAGAAUACUUUACUUAUUCGUGCUCGCUUGCCUUGAAGCGAGCGAACUCGUUCGCGACAUGAUAACAUGCAAAUACCGCUGGAAUCUCCCUUAUGAAGGUACCAGAUGUAAAAACGGCUACAUUUAAUUAACGAAGAACGUGAUUCGAAUCGCACGCCGAUAAACAGAAUUACGAGUCAUAUAAAAUUGUCUAUUAUUCAAAUUAGGUAUCUAAAUAACUUGUGGACUGAAAACGAUUGGCUUGAUCUUCGUCAAGAUGAUCAAGAGCCUGGCUUGUGACAAAGGACAGGAAAUGACCGCGACUUCGAGGGACAGGAGCACGUUAGUCAGUCGGCUAGCAGGAACGCAUUUGCGUGCCUGAUGCGCAUCCGAGUGUAUCUGUCAAAACCACGCCCUUGACCCAUCCUACGACUACAUAGGGACACGAAGAAAUUCUGGAAUUAAGUGUAGCACGACGUCCGUGAACCUCCGCCGGGUAUGACUCAUUCAAACGCCAGUUAUCGUUCUCGAUAUUCGCCGGCGCUACGCAGAAGUAUUAUGUUCACAGAUCGUACAAAACACAAAGGGGGAUAGUAAUUCGAAGUAAUAAUGAUGUUCUCGUUAUCAAACGUAUAAGCGUUAAAUAAAAGUGUGACGUCGACGCAACGAAGAACGGUCAGAUGAAAUAUUUCCAACGCCCACGCGAGAAAAGAAGAAAUAAUGGGAAACCUGUUGGCUCGCGACCGAUGGAUUCAGAUUCGGUACGUGCACAGAACGCGUAUGGUGUGAAUUGACCACACCCCUCCAUUUUCGAAUAACGAAAACGAUCGAUACCCUGUCGAAAGCUUGUUUUAUCAAGUUACGUAUUCGACGAUUUUCAAAAUUGACUCGAAGCGCGACUUUCGAAGACCGAGCGUCUCCGGGUCAAUUUACGCCGGGUCAAAAAACACGUUUACACACGAUCGUGUCGAAGUCUUUGGAACCGUAGAACGCCGGUUCCCCUUGACGAUAUCAAAGAAUCGAGAUCCUACGUAUACGUUUCUUUCUGUUUACUCGAAGGAGAAUCGCGAUGGUUCGUUUAAAUUAAACAACGAUAGCGAUUAGAACGCACCAGUGAGAAAGAGCACUGACCUUACAG